CUGGUUGUUAAUCAGGUUUUUUAUUUGAUUUAUCUGGUUUGAGGCAGAAACAUAGUUUUGUUUAGUUAACCACAGUUGAGAUUAUAAAAUUGUCGGUCGAAAUCAUCUGACGUAUAUUUCAUGAAUAUUAAAAGUAAUUUGAAACAUGACCUUUCAUAAAGCUAAAAGAUUUAGAUACCAGAAAAUAUCGUAAGAGAAGUCCAGACCUACUUGACUUUUUGACAGAUGAGAAUCUCUCGGAGUUUUCGAGUUAUAUGUUCGUCUGAGUGAAGUUCUGUGGGAGAGGCUAUAGUUUUUGAGACAUUCUUAUCACGUGAUACAUUGAGAUUUGUGUUUUUGAUGAUGGUGUUUUUACAAAAAAAAAACUGUGGAGGCAGAAUUUGGUCUGGAAGUUUUGGUUUUUGAAGGAUGCUUUUUCUGUAAUAUAAGUACGCUACAAAAUGCCUAAGUGCCAACGGUCAACUGUCUCGAGAAUCACCGAUUAAACGACAGUCAAGCUCA